CCCUUAGAUGUUCUGGGCUGCACGCGCGCUACACUGACACACUCAGCGAGUCACCUGAUCUGAGAAGACCGGGCAAUCAUGUGAGCGUGUGUCGUGAUGGGGAUAGAAUAUUGUAAUUAUUACUCUUCAACGAGGAAUUCCUAGUAAGCGCGAGUCAGCAGCUCGCGCUGAUUACGUCCCUGCCCUUUGUACACACCGCCUGUCGCUCCUACCGAUUGAAUGUUCCGGUGAGCUCUUCGGACUGCGCGGUCUGCAGUUUCUGCGUUCCGUGCGGAAAGUUGCGCAAACCUUAACAUUUAGAGGAAGGAGAAGUCGUAACA
rnacentral:rRNA from 1 species